rnacentral:rRNA from 1 species
UACAGAGGGUGCAAGCGUUGCUCGGAAUCAUUGGGCGUAAAGGGUAGGUAGGUGGUCUCAUUUGUCUGGGGUGAAAGCCCAGGGCUUAACCCUGGAAGUGCCCCGGAAACGGUGAGACUGGAGUCUUGGAGAGGGUCGUGGAAUUCCCGGUGUAGAGGUGAAAUUCGUAGAUAUCGGGAGGAACACCAGUGGCGAAGGCGGCGACCUGGACGGACACUGACGCUGAGACGCGAAAGCGUGGGGAGCAAACAGG